CUAUUUAAAAACUAAAUUUCUACCAAGAUUUAAAAUACAGUUUAUUCGCACCAGUUUAAAACGUAAUGCAUAAAAAACUUAGAGAGUAAGAUUUCUACAACUAGAUUUCUCUAGAGGAAUUUUAUAUUACUAUUUAAAUUUUAAAUUCAAUGAUUUAAAAACUAGAUUGAACCGAUUGAUUUGAUUGAUCAGACUUUGACCUAUUCUAUCAAGAAUCUGAUUUUAACCUAUUGAACCGAAUAACAUUAAGAACAAUUUGGAACCGGUAAAGAUAAUAAAUAUUUUAAACAGAAUGAUAAUUUAACUGUUAGAGCUAAUAAAUAUUUUAAAUAUAAUUUUAAACAUAUAAAUUAAAAAGAUUAGAAUUAUUGGUGAGAAAAAAAAUAGUUAGGAAUUUGAAUUCGAAUCUGAGUAAGAAUCACAAAACUUAUUUUCGAACACGACGGAUUUCAAAAAUCCAUAUCCAAAUUCAAAAUUGACCAAUUUUUCGAAAUCCAAAACCAAACCUAAACCAGAAGACUAGAAUUCAAACAAUUAUUUCUGUUUACCGUAUUUCAAAAUAUUUAUAUGAAACUUAAAUUUUUAAAAUAUAAAUUUGAAUAUAAUAUUAAAUUUUAAAUUUAAAAGUGAAAUUUAAAUUAGAGGAAUUUUAUAUUACUAUUUAAAGUUUAAAUUCAAUGAUCAUAUUGUCAAAUCAUUUGAAAUUUUUCUUAUAUGAAAUGCCAAAUUAUGAAAGGAAAGAUAGAGAGAGAAAAAGAAAACAAAGAAAAAACAAAAAUUUUGAAAAUAUAGUAGAUGUAAAAUGACUAAAUUGCCUAUGUAUUAAAAGACAAAAAUAUUCUUUUUUGAGAUACCUGGUAACCAGUAUCUCUUUCAAAGUGGCCUGCUAUUGCAUGUCACAAUUUAAAAAAAAUUUAAAUCUGAGUCGUUAAAUAUGCAUGAAUGAACGAUAAAAAAUAAAAAAAAAAAAAAA
rnacentral:lncRNA from 1 species